CCUACGGGAGGCAGCAGUAGGGAAUCUUUCACAAUGGGCGAAAGCCUGAUGGAGCAACGCCGCGUGCAGGAUGAAGGCCUUCGGGUUGUAAACUGCUUUUAUAAGCGAGAAAUAUGAUGGUAACUUAUGAAUAAGGAUCGGCUAACUACGUGCCAGCAGCCGCGGUCAUACGUAGGAUCCGAGCAUUAUCCGGAGUGACUGGGUGUAAAGAGUUGCGUAGGUGGCAUAAUAAGUAGCUAGGGAAAUCUGGUGGCUCAACCAUUCAGACUAUUAGCUAAACUGUUAAGCUCGAGACCGUUAGGGGUAACUGGAAUUUCUAGUGUAGGAGUGAAAUCCGUAGAUAUUAGAAGGAACACCAAUAGCGUAGGCAGGUUGCUGGGACGGUUCUGACACUAUGGCACGAAAGCGUAGGGAGCAAACGGGAUUAGAUACCCCUGUAGUC
rnacentral:rRNA from 1 species